GAACGCGAAGAACCUUACCUGGGUUUGACAUGCACAGGACGCUGGUAGAGAUAUCAGUUCCCUUGUGGCCUGUGUGCAGGUGGUGCAUGGCUGUCGUCAGCUCGUGUCGUGAGAUGUUGGGUUAAGUCCCGCAACGAGCGCAACCCUUGUCCUAUGUUGCCAGCGGGUUAUGCCGGGGACUCGUAGGAGACUGCCGGGGUCAACUCGGAGGAAGGUGGGGAUGACGUCAAGUCAUCAUGCCCCUUAUGUCCAGGGCUUCACACAUGCUACAAUGGCCGGUACAAAGGGCUGCGAUGCCGUGAGGUGGAGCGAAUCCUUGUAAAGCCGGUCUCAGUUCGGAUAGGGGUCUGCAACUCGACCCCGUGAAGUCGGAGUCGCUAGUAAUCGCAGAUCAGCAACGCUGCGGUGAAUACGUUCCCGGGUCUUGUACACACC
rnacentral:rRNA from 1 species